rnacentral:lncRNA from 1 species
AGGAAGCCAUUAACUGCAAUGUUUACUUUUACAUGUCUAUUUUUACCGUUUGACAUUCGUUUAUUUGUUCGAAUUGUUUUUGCCCUAAUGCUGAUUGGCUAAUGCGCCGUUUGUUGAUUUUUUCACUUUCUGUUCUGCAAUGUGAUCGGUUAGUGUUCUCUAAGUGGCCCCACUUACAGUAGACGCACUGUAAAUAUACUCGCCUUUUAAGCAAAAGCGAAAAGAUUAUUUUUGCCACAAUUUUACGGUAAACCCAAACGUGGUGACGGAAUUUCCCAGCAUUUAUAUGUGCUGA